GGAGAUUAAUCUGUGUCCUCAGCCCAGGUGCCAUGAGUUCCUCUGGAGCAGGAUCACCUGCCUCCGAGAAUAUGACAGUCUCAGAGAGUAAAGAACACAAGAUUUACGAAUCCCAUACUUGUACUGGAAAUAUUACCCUGCUUUGGACUCCAUCA